UACGGAGGGGGCUAGCGUUGUUCGGAAUUACUGGGCGUAAAGCGCACGUAGGCGGCUUUGUAAGUUAGAGGUGAAGCCCGGGGCUCAACUCCGGAAUUGCCUUUAAGACUGCAUCGCUAGAAUUGUGGAGAGGUAAGUGGGAAUUCCGAGUGUAGAAGGUGAAAUUCGUAGAUAUUCGGAAGAACACCAGUGGCGAAGGCGACUUACUGGACACAUAUUGACGCUGAGGUGCG
rnacentral:rRNA from 1 species